AAUUUAGCCCCCUCCUUCCAAACACCCCCUUACUUAAUUUAUAGAUUUUUUAUUAGCUCACUCGCCGCGUGGUGAGGUCAACUACUUCAGCCGUUCAAACCGUUCACACUACUGACUACUCCACCCCGGCUCAGCUCUCUCCAUCCCAGCUCUGCCGGGGGCCGCCCCCACCCCCGCCUCCGCCCGAGCAGCAGCAGCGUGCGCGAUUCCUCCGCCACGGGCCGUCAAUUUCCGGUGGGCUGCACCCAUGUAGGAGGUGCCGGCGUCGUGGUCGGACAUCCCGGUGGGGCUCUCCGGCCUCGUCCUCGGCCGCCUGCCUGUGCACGUCGACCGCGUCCGGUUCGCCGCCGUUUGCCCCCAGUGGCGCGCGGCCGCGCGGCAGGGGGGCGUGCCCCCGCCGAUGCCGAUGCUCCUGCUCCCAGGCGCCACCGUGUACAGCCUCCCAGGAAGCGCCGUUCCACUUCCCUGACUGCACGGGGUACACUAACGCCUGUGGCACUGGCAACUGGUUGGUGUUCUCGGGCGAGGACGACUGCUUCCUGAGGGAUCCUUUCUCCAACGAGACCGUGACACUUCCAGCUCUGACCCACACGCUCGAAUGUGGGAUGUGGGUGAUGAGUCCGUUGACGAGGCAGGCCACGCAUGGAUGGAAAUGGACGAAGAAGAGGAGUGGAGUGCGUCCAAAAUUAUGUUUUGUUCGCCUCACCUCAUUGCAGCGAUAUUCAUGUUCACGAGUGACAGAGCAGCGCUCGGAUUGCAGUUUGCCAGCCAGGGGGCACCUCCUGGUGGUCCGUACGUAUGGAUCAACGAGCUGCUCUGUUUGUUGACAUUGUGUUUGUCCGGACGUCCGAAUUCUAAGUUUGACCUACCUAGUUAAAUCUCGUGGUGCGUUGCUGUUGGUGUGCCGAAAGAUAGACCUCCAGUUGAAAGCACUACACUGGGAUAGAAUUGAUGUUCUUUAAGAUGAACGGAACAGGUUUGAGGUGUAUGAGGCCAAUUUCGGGCAGUCACGGUUGGCCAAGGUAACGACACUAGGGGAGGACCAGGUGUUGUUUGUAUCGUCGACGGUGCUGCAGAUCUGUCUGCAUUUCUCAUAACAAGAUGCCAGGGGAUCGCAUCUUCUUCAUGGAGAACGAGUAUUACCAUUGUUACAGUGAGGACCCCUCAAGUUCUUGCAGUGUCUAUGAUGUGAGAGACGGCAAGGUGUACAACCCUCUGCCAAUGGUGUCGUGGAGUCCCCGCGCGGUGUUAGCCACAUGGCUCUUACCCUAAGGGCUGAAGUGGUACUGUCACUGUACUAACUGAAUGCUUUGAUCGGUUUUAAUCUGGUCUUAUUAUAGUGCUAUCUGGUAUAAUGGAAGCUGCUAAGUGUUAGUACUUGUCUGAUCAUAGUAUGGUGAUCUACUGGUGCCUGUGAUGAUGACUAUGGACUAAUUGCGUCGUACUCAAUUCGUAAACUUCUGAUGAACAAACCUUGAGGUACCAUGCUAUUGGUUGUUAUUAUGAACCUGUUCUGUGAGCUUGGUGAUGUAAGGGUGUCUCUAGUUGGGUGGAUCGCAAGCUUGUUGUUCAAUUUUAAUCGAUGUUGUCUUAAAUCUUCUGUAAGUCGUGCGACUUGAGAGGUUUAUGUAUUUCUUGUAAUGGAGUUUUUGCGUGGAAUAUCCAUGAUCCAUUUGAGGGCAAUAUUGCUAAUUUGUAAUAUUGCUGGCUUUUAUGGACCUAUUCUGUUACCUCGACAUUUUAUGGGAUGGGAGUCUCCAGUUGAGGAGAGUCUAAUUUGUUAA